rnacentral:lncRNA from 1 species
UUAGGUUGUAGAUGAUUGUGCUCCAUACAUAUAUAUGAAUUAUAAAAAUAAUAAAUAUUAUCUGAUAGAUUCAUCAUAAGAAAUAUAUUUUUCUAAAUAGAACUCAUAUGUUAUGAUGAAAUCCUUAGAGAUAGUUCUAAAAUGAUAAAGGAAGAUUUAUCAUGUGGUUCUUAAAUUCUGUUCAUGAUCAAAUGAUACAAUUGUUAUAAGGAUGAUAAUUGUAUCGAGUGUAAGUCGUUGUGUGCCAUAUUAGUUGAUUGUCCUUUUAACCAAGGCA